GACGAACGCUGGCGGCGUGCUUAACACAUGCAAGUCGAACGGAAAGGCCCUGCUUUUGUGGGGUGCUCGAGUGGCGAACGGGUGAGUAACACGUGAGUAACCUGCCCUUGACUUUGGGAUAACUUCAGGAAACUGGGGCUAAUACCGGAUAGGAGCUCCUGCUGCAUGGUGGGGGUUGGAAAGUUUCGGCGGUUGGGGAUGGACUCGCGGCUUAUCAGCUUGUUGGUGGGGUAGUGGCUUACCAAGGCUUUGACGGGUAGCCGGCCUGAGAGGGUGACCGGCCACAUUGGGACUGAGAUACGGCCCAGACUCCUACGGGAGGCAGCAGUGGGGAAUAUUGCACAAUGGGCGGAAGCCUGAUGCAGCAACGCCGCGUGCGGGAUGACGGCCUUCGGGUUGUAAACCGCUUUCGCCUGUGACGAAGCGUGAGAGACGGUAAUGGGUAAAGAAGCACCGGCUAACCACGUG
rnacentral:rRNA from 1 species